GGCCCAGCCCCAAGCCUACAUCACUAUAUAACCAAGGAAAAACCCCUGGUUCGUGAUUACUCACGAGUUAAGCCGUCAAGGUUAGCGUAUCCCUAACCUAACCGAUCUCUAAGGUGCUGGAAGGCUUGGAAGCAUGGUGUCCCUCGAUCUGCAUCGACAUCCAUCCUGUUCUACUUCAUCUACAUCAGCAAAUCUUCAAGAACAGAGACAUCCAUGAUGACUACCGGUUCUGAUGCAAGCUACAUGAAGGAUAUUAAGCAAUUUAAUGGCAUUGACUUUCCUUUAUGGAGGAAGUUGAUAGAAGGCAUUCUCGAGUUUCUAGAGCUUGAUUAUGUGCUCUAUACAGUCAAGCCAUUUCCUCCUACUUCUGGUAUUGAGGACUAUGAUGAGAAGAUGUAUGAGUAUCACUUCAAGUUAGAGCAAUGAGAGAAUGAUAAUAAGCUUGCCAAAAGAAUCAUUAAGCGUUCAAUCUCCGAUGGCAUAAGGGGAGUUUUUGAUGAUGAUGAGGACAAGACUGCUUGUGGUUUCCUCUAUUUAAUUGAGAUGAGUCAUAGGCAAGUCUGUGUAAGUUACCUCAUCAAAAGAUUAACCACUUCACGUUAUAAUGGGCAUGGCAGAUUGGCAAAGCACAUACAUUAAAUGUUGGACAUAGCUUAUGAGUUUAAGGUUUUUGGAAUUAAUCUCUUCGACUCAUGUGUGGAGCAUUAUAUUAAUCAAUCUAUAAGAGAUCCAUGAGGUCGGGGGAGUUUUUCUUAUAAUUAGUUGAUAGAAAUAAGUUGAAGUUCAUACAGUAGAGAGCAUCAUUUAGAAUUAGUUAGUAGAUUCAAUAUUUAGUUUGAUGAUAUCAAUGUACUUUUUGAUGAAACUUUUGUUUCUGCAUUAAUGAGUAUAUUUCUCUAAGUUAAGUGAUCAUCUUUUAUAUCAUCGAGUUUUAAGUUAUUAUUAUUGUUUCUCUACAAGAGAAAUUUUCAUAAUUUUAUCAUGAAUAUUUUAACACGUGAGAAUUAGAUGAGAUAAGUUAAGUGAUGAGACCUUGUCGAAUAUGUGGCACACUCACAUAUGGACCACAAAUUCGAAGGGGAGAGUGAAAUGUCUCAUCAAUUCAUAAGAUGCUCCAAUUAAUAAAGCUAGUAAACAAUUACUCUUGUAAGAUACAUUUAUUAUAAAUCUCUCCGUAAUAUUUCAUUGUUCAUAAGCUCAUGGCAAAAUUAAGUAUAAAGUUUUAAGUAUAAAAUACUAGCUGGUGCUUAUACACCAAUAUACUAUGAGAUGCCUCUAAAUAAAUGGAACCAAUGCGAAAAUUUAUUUAGAGUAAACUUGUAAUUAAAUCUGACCACCGUUAUUUUAAUUAUGAGUUUCAGCUAAGUUUCGCUUGUUUUGCCCACCGGUGAUGCAAGUUGUUACUUAUUGCGUGAUUAUAAUCAGACCAACGUAGGGUUAUUAUCAUGCGCUUAUUUGCAUUUCAUUGUAUAUGAUUACUAAGUUAGUUUAAGAGCAAUUUUAUCAUGCUAAGACAUGAUUAUUCAAAGACCAUUGUGAUGGGAAAGCCAAUUGUCUCAAAUAAGUGUGAUUUUAUUUUUUAUUCUGGCCACCGCUGGGUACGGGAUAAUUUUCAUAGGUCCUGUUGUUCUAUCCAUUUUCUGGGCACCGCUAUUGUGGAUUAGUUCAAUUUGGAUCAGAGAUGAUUGAAGUAUAGUUGUGUUCAUGAUUCUGGCCACGGCGGUUUUGUGAACAUUUAAUCAUAGCUUUGCUACUCUAGUUUAUUAACUAGCCACGGCUGGGGUGGGCUAGGAUAGCAAAGAAAGCUGAUCAGUGUUAUAGUUUUUGUCGUGCCAAGAUAAAUAUUAAAAGAGCUACCAUUGUGAAUUAUUUCAGAUAAGUUUAAGAGCCGACACUUCUAAUAUUCUGAUUAUUCAGAAUUCAAUGGAAGCUCAUAAAGAAGGAUGGAAAUAGAGAAAAUCUUAAUGAGAUAUAGGAUUAAGGGCCGACACUUCUAAUAUUCUGAUUAUUUAGAAUUCAAUGGAAGCUCACAAAGAAGGAAGGAAAUAGAGAAGAAAAUCUCAAUGAGAUAUAGGAUAAGUUUUCUCUAUAUCGAUAACUUGAGAUGAGAUAUAUGUCUAUCUAUCUAUAUGAUUUGAUAUAUAUAUCGUGCCAUAAGUAUUUCUCCAAUUUUCAUCCAAAUUCUGUUGAGGAUUUACAUUAGUUGUUUAACCAUGACGGAGAUACGUAAUGUUUAAUGACAAUUUAAGUUUUGGGCACAAAAGUAAUAGCCUCAGUUAUUUUAAGAUUAAUGGAUGUGAAUUUUGAACAAUUCAUAUCAUGGCAAUUUUCUGAUGGAGUCAAGGCAAUAGGCUGUAAUGGGUCUAUAAGUUUUGAAAUGUGAUUCCAAAGGAAACUAAGAUGCUAAGUUCAUAGGUAACUAUGAUUCAUUUUAUAAAGUAAAGGUGGAUUAAUAAUUAUCCUGAUACUCUAAGGUGAAUAUUUUCUCCAUAAGCUGACUAAAGUAAGAAUGCGUUCCUAGUUUUUGGGGGAGCAUAAUACUAAGAUGGAGCCAUAGUGAGUGUUGGGAUUUGUCACUAAAGGGCGUAUGUUAAGAAAGACUCUAAAGUGACAACAUAUGAAUGCAUACACAGUCAUGCCUGUUUUGUUUGUAUGAUAUAGCAAAUUUCGUUAUAAGAAUAAAGUUAAGAAUAAGAUAAAUAGGAAGACGUUCCUAAGGUAUCAGUUUUGAAGCUCUAUGCUAAGCCCUAUAAGUAAUUGACUUAGCAUGACAAGCCGGAAUGCUUGAUAAAACUUUAUUAGUUUUAGUCCAGGGGAGGUCCACUGGAAAAGGUGUUAAAAGAUAGAAACACCAUAAUAACAUGUUUAUUUAAUUAAGGUACUUUUCAGACAAGAUUUUGUAAGAGUGUGUGGAUAUAAAUAUACACAAUUAGUUUUAUGUCUUUCACUCUUACAUAUAUGAGCAAUUCUGCAGAAAGCUCUAAAAUAAGAUUGGCAUAGUUAAGGCUAAUUUUGUAUAGCAUGUUUUAGGCAGGCAUGUGACAGUCCAAGAGACUGAUGAACCUAUCACAGUGGGCUAUAGUGUAAGCUUGUCAUCUGGAGAGGUUGUGGAGGUGAAGGACUGCCGAAUGAUUCGGUGGGAAAGGGAGAAUUCCAAGUUGUACAUGCAGAGCAGCGAUGGUGAAUCCAACUACGAAGAAAAGAUUAAGUUUGCAACCUACUUUGCAGACGAGAUAUCUAAAGGAGUGCUCUUUGAGAUGGCGGAUCAGAUCCCGUCGCUUGCUGAACUCAUAAAAUUUGGAAGCUUACUGGACUUCCAGGAUGCUGCUGUUGGGUUCUUGCUGAGGUCCAAGAAUCUGCAGCUGUUCCCUGAAGAUGAUUAUUUUCUGAAGUCUUCAAUGCUUGGUGGCAGCAAGAACAAGUAGUGUUCUGCAGAAUAUGCUCUUUUGGAUAUGGUCGUGGUUCCUGAUGGUUUAUGAAAUAUCUGGUGUUGCAUCUGGAGGCUCAUGAAUGUGACUGUCUUGCUGUCUUCUGUUAGACUUAAUAUUAUUCUUAAUGCUAAACUGUUAUCGCUAGUUUAAUCGUGGAUUUCGAACCUCUUG